GAUGAACGCUAGCGGCAGGCUUAACACAUGCAAGUCGAGGGGCAGCAUGACACGGAGAUUCGUCGAAGUGUCGAUGGCGACCGGCGCAAGGGUGCGUAACGCGUGAGCAACUUGCCCGUUUCUGGGGAAUAACCGUUGGAAACGACGACUAAUACCCCAUAGUAUCAUGAUGAGGCAUCUUAUUGUGAUUAAAGAAAUUCGGAAACGGAUAGGCUCGCGUGACAUUAGCUAGAUGGCGGGGUAACGGCCCACCAUGGCUACGAUGUCUAGGGGUUCUGAGAGGAAGGUCCCCCANACUGGAACUGAGACACGGGUCCAGACUCCUACGGGAGGCAAGCAGUGAGGAAUAUUGGUCAAUGGUCUGACGACUGAACCAGCCAUGCCGCG
rnacentral:rRNA from 1 species